CAGUAAAUAAGGGGGUACCCGUAAACUUUCGGUGUGUCUGCCCUUCUCUUCGGGAUUACCGCCGGAAACGGUGGCUAAUACCGAAUACAACGCGCUCUCGCAUGAGAUGCGCGUGGAAAGUCUUAUCGGUGGAGGAUGUGCUCGCGGCCUAUCAGCUUGUUGGUGAGGUAACGGCUCACCAAGGCUUCGACGGGUAGCCGGCCUGAGAGGGUGACCGGCCACACUGGGACUGAGACACGGCCCAGACUCCUACGGGAGGCAGCAGUGGGGAAUAUUGGACAAUGGGCGAAAGCCUGAUCCAGCAACGCCGCGUGAGGGAUGACGGCCUUCGGGUUGUAAACCUCUUUCAUUACCGACGAAGCGCCAAUAACGGUGGUGACGGUAGGUACAGAAGAAGGACCGGCCAACUACGUGCCAGCAGCCGCGGUAAUACGUAGGGUCCGAGCGUUGUCCGGAAUUAUUGGGCGUAAAGGGCUCGUAGGCGGUUUGUUGCGUCGGGAGUGAAAACUUACAGCUUAACUGUGAGCGUGCUUCCGAUACGGGCAGACUUGAGGUAUUUCUGGGGAGAACGGAAUUCCUGGUGUAGCGGUGAAAUGCGC
rnacentral:rRNA from 1 species